rnacentral:rRNA from 1 species
UACGGAGGGAGCUAGCGUUGUUCGGAAUUACUGGGCGUAAAGCGCACGUAGGCGGCUUUGUAAGUUAGAGGUGAAAGCCUGGGGCUCAACCCCAGAAUUGCCUUUAAGACUGCAUCGCUUGUAUCCAGGAGAGGUGAGUGGAAUUCCGAGUGUAGAGGUGAAAUUCGUAGAUAUUCGGAAGAACACCAGUGGCGAAGGCGGCUCACUGGACUGGUAUUGACGCUGAGGUGCGAAAGCGUGGGGAGCAAACAGG